rnacentral:lncRNA from 1 species
UAUUAUCUCUUCUUUAUUUUGCAUUCUACAUUUGUUCAAGUUAUCUUUCUUCUAUAAAAUAAUUCUAUUUCCGCUGUACUUGUAUGCCAUAUGGGUUGAGAUGUACUCGAGUAUUCCUCGAUCGGUCUUUUCAAUAGUUUCAAUAAUUACGACUAUUAAGAAAUAACUACUAUUUGAAUAUCAUAUGUUUAAAAUUAAUAACUGAUUUUUUUGAUUUUAAAAAUCAAAAAAAUAAAUAUCUUUAACAGACAAAUAAAGAUUCAAAUUGCCGAGUGCCAUAUGCCAUC